rnacentral:misc_RNA from 1 species
GGCAAGAAUUCCAGUUGAGAAGAUAGGGCUUCUUGUGUAAGAGGAGCUUGAAACAUCUGCAGAUCUUGAAACCUUUGAUCUGCACUGUUCCUUGCGCUCGUCUAUCAUUAUUUGUCUUGAUCGACACUCCAUGCUACAGAAUGCUUUCUCUCCUCUGUAAAGAAAUCCAAAGCAAAAUACAUUAAAAUCUCUAUCUUUUCAAAUCAAGAAAAUCAAGAAACACCUCGUCUCCUUUGUCCCUCAUCAUUUUUAUACAUAUUCUUGCCAAUAUAAUGGGAAAAUAUAAUCAAAAUAUCAAGAUAGCAAGAAAGAAGAAAAAUACAAGCUGCAGUAUUGUACCUGUACAUGUAUAUGUCUUUCCCAUGGAGCCUUUUCCUGCACAAG